ACUCCUACGGGAGGCAGCAGUGGGGAAUAUUGCACAAUGGGCGCAAGCCUGAUGCAGCCAUGCCGCGUGUAUGAAGAAGGCCUUCGGGUUGUAAAGUACUUUCAGCAGUGAGGAAGGCGGGUGACGUUAAUACGUGCUCUUUUGACGUAGCNGCAGAAAGAAGCACCGGGCUAACUCCGUGCCAGCAGCCGCGGUAAUACGGAGGGUGCGAGCGUUAAUCGGAAUUACUGGGCGUAAAGCGCAUGCAGGUGGUUUGUUAAGUCAGAUGUG
rnacentral:rRNA from 1 species